UACAGAGGUCCCAAGCGUUGUUCGGAUUCACUGGGCGUAAAGGGUGCGUAGGUGGUCAGGUAAGUCUGAUGUGAAAGCCCACGGCUCAACCGUGGAGGGUCAUUGGAAACUGGGGGACUUGAGUACAGAAGAGAAGAGUGGAAUUCCACGUGUAGCGGUGAAAUGCGUAGAGAUGUGGAGGAACACCAGUGGCGAAGGCGACUCUUUGGUCUGUAACUGAUGCUGAGGCGCGAAAGCGUGGGGAGCAAACAGG
rnacentral:rRNA from 1 species